UCGUAAACCGCCCGUCUUGUAACACGGACCAAGGAGUCUAACAUCUAUGCGAGUGUUCGGGUGUCAAACCCCUACGCGUAAUGAAAGUGAACGGAGGUGAGAACCGCAAGGUGCAUCAUCGACCGAUCCUGAUGUCUUCGGAUGGAUUUGAGUAAGAGCAUAGCUGUUGGGACCCGAAAGAUGGUGAACUAUGCCUGAAUAGGGUGAAGCCAGAGGAAACUCUGGUGGAGGCUCGCAGCGGUUCUGACGUGCAAAUCGAUCGGGAGACAUGGGUAUAGGGGCG
rnacentral:rRNA from 1 species